rnacentral:rRNA from 1 species
UACGUACCGUCCAAACGUUAUUCGGAUUUACUGGGCGUAAAGGGCGCGUAGGCGGCGCGGUAAGUCACUUGUGAAAUCUCUGAGCUUAACUCAGAACGGCCAAGUGAUACUGCAGUGCUAGAGUGCGGAAGGGGCAAUCGGAAUUCUUGGUGUAGCGGUGAAAUGCGUAGAUAUCAAGAGGAACACCUGAGGUGAAGACGGGUUGCUGGGCCGACACUGACGCUGAUGCGCGAAAGCCAGGGGAGCAAACGGG